rnacentral:lncRNA from 1 species
GUGUUCCCUGUCCUGCUUCCCCAGAGGAAGCCAGAAGAAGACCCCAGUUGCCAUGAACUCCGCCGUCACUAGCCGUGAGCACUCCACUUACUCGGGCCACACCAGAUGACAGACCUCAACUCUACUUGUCCCUAUGUGGAACCUUCCUCCUCUGGUGGACCUCAGACAAGCCUUGUAACCUCAGGGAGCCUCAAUCUCCUCAUCUGUCAGAGGGAAGCAAUAAGAUGAUGCAGAGGAGUGAUGUCGUGCUCAGCUCCCAACCUAUGGCCAAGGCAGGAGGACAGAUAGGCAGCCCGGGAGUCCCGCAGCAGCUGCCUGGCCUAUGACAUCUUGGACAUCCUGCCAUGUUAUCUCUGUAUCUUCUUGGGGAUUCAGCACUUCCUCACAGCCCUGGGGGGCCUCAUGGCGGUGCCAUUCAUCCUGGCCAAGGACCUGUGCCUGCAGCAGGACCCCCUGACACAGAGCUACCUCAUCAGCACCAUUUUCUUUGCUCCAGCAUCUGCAUGCUCCUGCAAGUGUUUUUAGGGGUCAGACUCGAAUCAUUUCUUGGUCUAGCAUCUCCAUGCUGUGGAGGAUACCCGCCCCCUUAGUAGCUGUCUUGGUGAUCAGAUUGACCGUCGAGGCACUGCAGUGCUUGUCCUCAGAACAAGAACCCAGAGCCCACCAAAGGACUGGCGUGAAAGGAGCUGUAGCACUGUAUCCGUCCCACCCUCCACUGGCACCGGAUGGCUGCCCCACAUGACAGGAAGUGUUGGUGUGACCAGACCAGCAGCCCAGGAGCCAUGGGCUAGAGUGGGGCAUUGGGACCGAAUGAGCGGUAACAUGAACAAGCUGAAACACAUUCCUGCCCAGCCUGCCAAGCUGUGGGCAGUGACACGCUCUUAUUUGCCAGACUACAAGAGAAGAUCUGUGACCCUUCUGGGGGCCCAUACCUUGGGGCUCCCCAAGCCAGAGCUGUGACAUGCUGUAACACCCUCUUGCAGCUCCACGGUUGCUGGUGUCUUUGAGUUUUCAGGCACCACGGCGUUCCCCUUGUUGGGAUGCCAGUGCCCAAGGUGGAAGCCACUUGAGGCAUACCUGGUCCAGCCACAGCCUCACAUGGUUCUGACACCUGGAGCUGCCUGCCCUUCUGCAGCAGCUGGUGCACCUGGCUCUGUGGUGUGGCUGGACCCUGUGCUCACUCACACACCUCCCACUACUCCGCGCCUGGCUCACCCAUGAUGGGAAUGGGAUCUGGGCCAGUAGUGCAAGCUGAGGACAGCCUGCUGGGCUGAGUAGGCAGAGCCAGCCCAGCAGUUGUGAGCAAAACUUGGUCAGAGGCGCCACUGGUCACAGAAGUUUCUGGCUGGUGAAGUGGCACUGAAAGAAUCCUGUGUGACUUUGCUCAUCUCAGUUACUCAUUCUGUGGCCACAUCUCAGACUAGCCUUGGGGAUUCCCAGUAGCUGUGCCUGCAAUCCUCAAUUUCAAGCAGUUGUCUGACCACCACCUCCUAUUUUUCCAGCUCACUACUUCUAGUCCCCCAAGUCUAAUAACUCUUUAAUUGGCCAGGAUCUGAAUCUACCGUCCUCCCACCUUCCGCUGGUCCCCUCUUCCCUCCUUGAGCAACCUCAAUGCCACAGUCAGUCAUAAUAACCACCUUCUCGCAUUUGCAACGCCCUUAGUCUGCUCUCUUCUUUACACUCUCUUGGCAAAACCUGAACGCUGAUGAGAAAUAACUCUUCACUCUGCACCUGCACUCGUGCAGUUGAGCAUCUCUGGGGAAAACAUACAGUUGAAUGGAGUGGUUUUAGAUUCAGACCCUGAACUUCACGGGAUCCUCAGUGCCGCCUGGCAGGCAGGAACCCUUUCCCAAGCACACUGCUCUCUCUGCUAAAACUCUUUCCACCUCUGUCUUCUUCUUCUUUUUUUUUUUUUUUUUUUGAACUUCACGGGAUCCUCAGUGCCGCCUGGCAGGAAGGAACCCUUUCCCAAGCACAAGGCUCUCUCUGCUAAAACUCUUUCCACCUCUGUCUUCUUCUUCUUCUUUUUUUUUUUUUUUUUUUUUGAGACGCUCACUGUCACUCUGGCUGGAGUGUAGUAGUGCGAUUACAGAUCACUGCAGUCUUGACCUCUGGGCUCAAGGGAUCCUCCUGUCUCAGCCUUCCGUGUAGCUGGGGCUACAGGCAUGUGCCACCGCACUCUGCUAAUUUUUUAAAAAAUACUUUGUGGAGACAGAGUCUUGUCAUGUUGCCCAGGCUAGUCUUGAACCGCUCGGCUCGAGCAGUCCUCCAGCCUUGGCUUCCCAAAGUGCUAGGAUUACAGACAUGAGCCACCAUACCCAACCUCAGCUUCUUAUUUCAGAGAAAUCUGUAAAGGAGUAAUCAGAUGAGAAACUGUGCAAACACCUGCAUGUCUCCACUCCUAGCUUUGGUGCCCCUUGACUCUCCCUCCUGUUGGGUGAAUGAGCUGCCUGGCUCCUCCCUGAAGCUGGUUCCUCCCCUUGUGCUCCAGAGCCCAUUCCCUGAUUUCUAUUCAAGGGUUUCACUGCGACAAGUCUCCUAUCUUGCAUCAAGUUUUCUCUUUCUUUCAGUAACGCAUGUCAGCAUACACACCUGCUGUUAUUUCUGCUAUCUUAAAAAAAGAUUUUUUUUCUUAAAAAGAGACUUUUGUGAGUGUGUGCCAUGGUAGGCUUAAAGUAACAGGGUCCCGCCCAUCUAACAUGCUGUAAUAAAUGUGCUGGAGCUGAGGACCUGCGCUUAGCUGCUCCAGGAGUCCUGGAUGCCUCUCAUACCAGUCAAGAGCAGGCCCAUCCUCUUUCCUUACCCUACUGCUUCUGUGCCCACAGAAGCCCUUCACAUCCUGUCUCAUUCUGCCCUUUGUUCCUUUUCCUUUGGUUGACAGCUCCAGGACUUCAGAACAUUCCCUAUGUUCUCACCAAACAGCUGCCAGGCAGCCAGGCUCAGUUUUCCAAGUGGGUUUUCCUGUACUUUAUUUUCGUAUCGUGCUGUCCCCAGGCAGCCAAAGCAGGAUGAACAGCAGGAGAAGAGAGCCAGGCCCUCUCCUGGAACAGCCUCCUGGUCUUCCCUCAGCUGUACUUUUUUUUAUUGUCAGAACACGUAGUUUCAGAGCUUCAGGAACAAGGCAGCUUUGUGAGAAGCAUAUGCAAGAAGGGACAGAUUUCUGACAUUUCCAUAAAAGCACAAAGGCUUGUUUUGUUCAGAAUCAAGGUUGGAGAAGUAGCUGGUGGAUAAGAAGUAAUUGACGAGAUGGGCUUGGGGUAAUUAGCUUGAUUCAAUUAGCAUGAGGUGGAACUGAGUUACCCAAGCUAGAUGUCAGCUCAGCCCAGCCACCACCCGCCCACACCAUCUGCACUCAAUAAGCAUUUAUCUGUUGGAGCUUUUUCUGCACAUUCCAAGGUCGCUAUCAGAAUCUGAAUCCCCUGUUCUGAUAAUGCAGUGCCUAGAGCCACGGCCUCGCAGCUUCCCUCCUUCACCUCCAAUCUUGCUUCUUCCCGCCUCCACUUGACCUCCCAUGAUCCCCCUCCCAGUCAUCACCUAGAGGUGAUGCACAGAGUGGCCGACAGAGUGAACUCCAAGGGCUGGCUUCACAUUCCUACAUCCUAAUUCUUUAGAGGCAGGGCUUUUUUGUGACUUUAAACAACAAAAUUGUUCCCCAUUCAUUAACUUAUUGGGGAUAAAAAGAGUUAGAGGUGAGGUGAUCUGAGAUUCUUCUAUUAAAUGGUUUGGGGCUUCAGUUAAAUCAUUGUUUCUUCAUCUGUCAAAUGGCAGUAAUAACAGAGGCCCAACCUCCACAGGGAGCUGCUAUAACAACAACAACAUAAAAAUCCCCAAGGGGUACCCGUGAUGUUGGUUUCAUGUGUCAAGCUGGCCAAGCUAUAGUAUCCAGUUAUCUAAUCAGGCACUCCUUUAGGGGGUGUUGUGAAGGCAUUUUAUAGAUGUGGUUAACAAACCAGUCCACUUUAAAUUAAGAAGAUUGCCCUUGCUGAUGUGAUUGGGGCUCACCAUCCAUUAGCUGAAGGCCGUAAGAACAGAACUGAGGUUUCUGGGAGGAGACAUUCUUUCAAGACUGCACUGCCAACUCCAGCCUGAGUUUCCAGCCUCCUGGAAGCCCUACAGAUUUCAGACAUGCAGUCCCCACAAACAGAUAAACCAAUUUCUUAAAAUAAAUCUCGGUGUCUCUAUAUCGUAUUGGCACUGUUUUUCUGCAGAACUCUGAUUGCUACAGUACUGACUGAUAUAGGAAGAUACCUUCCCGAUACAAGUCCUUGGUGGGGAGGAAGGGAGAUUGAGAACCACGUGAAGGUAGUUUUAUGCAAUAACUCCAUCCCAGGCUAUGCCAAUACCCAAGGCUGCAGGAGAGAAGCAGAGGGCUGUUGGGCUCACAACCCAGCACAAGGUUGUGGGGGGAAGGGACACCUCCACAUCCUGCUGAGGUCCUCUCUGACUAGGGGCUGCUGGCAGGUAUGGCUCAAGGAAUGAAGUCGCAGCCUUGGACUAAAUAGGAUCAGGGUGGAGCUUGGUACAAAGAGGGAGGGGCUGGCUAGCACUGGCAUACAUUGCUUGAGGGCCUACUAUGUGCACGCCCCUCUGUAAAGCUGCAUUUCUUCUUUCCCACACAGCUGGCUUGGUGAGCCUCUAGGGGUGGCCAACCUGAGCUCCUGCAUUCCUGUCUUUCCAGCAGGAGUUCAAGCUGCCCCUGAGCACAAAGGCCCUUCCUGCCCAGCUCCUGGAGAGCCUCCCUCUGCCCACUCGGUGCGGUGAUUUGUAAGCUGUGAAGGGCUUGCGAAGCUCCUAUCCCUGCACACCCCGGGGGAAGUCCUUGAGUGCGGGCUCAUGCAUCUCAGGACUGCUUUGGAGUCACACAGGACUGGGUCUGGGUCCUAAGACUUAGCCGGUGUUUCAGACUCUCGCUAGGAGAUAACACAGUCCAAGCCUUUGGGAGGGCCUCAGUGCAGGGGAGGGGCUGCUAUGAUGCCUUGAAAACUGUAAAGAGCCAUGCAAGCCCAUUCUCCCCGCACACCCUGCAUUAGUCUGGGUUCUCCAGAGAAAUAGAGCCAAUAAGAUGUGUAUAUACGUAGAUACAGAGAAAGAGAGAGGUGAAAUAUUUAUUUUAAGGAAGGGACCCAUGCAGUUGUGGAGGUGCAAGUCUAAAAUCUGCAAGGCGGGCCGGCAGGCUGGGAAGAGCCGCAGUUCAAGUCCAAAGUUGGACUGCUGGCAGGAUUCCCUCUUUCUCCCGGGAGGUCGGUCUCUUUCGAUUCAGGCCUUUAACCUAUAGGAAGCAUUCUGAGGAUCAUCUGCUUUACUGGAAGUCUCCUGACUUAAAUGUUAAUUUCAUUAACAAUACCUUCACAGAAACAUCUAAAAUAAUGUUUGACCAAAUUCCUGGGUAUCACAGACUAGCCAGGUUGACACAUAAAAUUCACCCUCACCCCCAGUGUCCAAGCCCAGGUACACGUAUGCACCCUUUGCCCAGAAGCCUCACCAGAAAGCCCUCGGAACCCUCGGACCUCACUGUAGCUCCUGUUCAGGUGACUUUAUUACCAGGAGCAGCAGAUGAAUCUGGUUCCACCCAGCUGUCCUGUGGCACAGGGUUGAGGUCAGCACUGCCCCUGGCUCUCAGAGUGUGCAGGAUGAGCAGGUGGGCUGUGGAACUCUCUAGAACCCAUCAGGGCAAUGCCCUGUGCCCAGGACAUGCUGAAAGUACCUGGUGUUAUGUCACCUCCGAGGACAGAUCCUGCCUGUCCUCCUUGAAAGGCCCAUGGCCUGGGCCCCAGCUGUACUUUCUACCCCCUUAAUAGGAGCACAAUAGCAGCAGGCCAGCCCUUUGUGCCAAACAGUCCCUAAAGACCAACACGAGGCCGUGCUUCUCUUAUACUUUAUAAUAAUCAGAAACUAAAAUCAUCAAAAUGCUUCUGGAACAACCCACUCCAAAGAGUCCUGGAGGCCAAGGCAGGUGCAACCUUAGCUGCCAGCAUUCAACCUUGGGAACUGCCCACCUCAUUCAGUCCCUCCCCUCGCAGCUCCUCUUCUGCAUUACAAAUCUUCAUCGUCAAAGGUCUCUGUGCACUGCAACAUGAUCAUCUCUUCAUCAACGGGAAAGGAUGCUUCCUGCAAGACACAGGGUGGAAGAGGGUCACUUUUUAUCUGUGGGUCUUGGGCCCGAGGCAGAUAGGAAGGCUCCUGCAUCUCCGGUGUGCCCAGCCCCCAGACUCUAUCCUACGUCUCUUCCGCUGCAUUUUCACCUCCAGCUUGGGCCAGGAAGCAAGGGCUCUAAGGGGGGAAGGUCCCAUUUCCAUUUCACUCAACUCAGCAUUCUAUGACCUCCAGAAAGGACACAGCAGAACUGGCUUCUUUUUUAUCCUGGGGAUUUCCAGGUUCCCACAAGAGAGACAGAGGACCUCAUAAGGCUUUAUCCAAAUGCUCAUCAAUAGAAGACGGUGCACUGCACCACGGUGCUCCCACCAAUGAAACACCAUGCAGCUCAUUUCCAACAAAAAUAAUGAGACAGCGUGCUCUCUGUGGGAUACACUAUUUACAAAGGGCAAAGUGCAAAGCAAUGUGUACCGUAGGCUACUACUAUUUGUGUUUGAAAGAAUAUAUAAUAUCUGUAGAAUAUCUUUGGAUGAGUGUACAAGAAACUGGUCACUGUAGUUGCCUCUGGGGGAGGGUAUGGGGUAGGAAGCAAGGAAGAGAGAGAGACUAAGUGUCCAUUGUAUAUCUUUUGGUAACUUGUAAAUUUUAUGCCAUGUAUAUGGGUUACCUAUUAGGAGAUGAUAUUUUUUUAAGCAGCAGCACUGCAGCUGGUCAUGAUGGCUCAAUGCCUGUAAUCCCAGCACUUUGGGAGGCCAAGGCAGGCGGAUCACCUGAGGUUAGGAGUUCGAGACCAGCCUGGCCAACAUGGCGAAAUGCUGUCUCUACUAAAAAUACAAAAAAAUUAGCUGGGCAUGGUGGUGUGCGCCUGUAAUCCCAGCUACUCGGGAGGCCAUGGCAUGAGAAUCACUUGAACCUGGGAGGCAGAGGUUGCAGUGAUCCAAGAUCACACCAUGACUACACACCAUCCUGGGUGAAAAAAAAAAGCAGCAGCACUGUUUGCUUAGCAAGGGUUUCUCAGUCCCUAAAGGGACACUGUAAACAGUGAUCCCAGCCAACACCUCAGGACUCUCCAUGACUUCUUCCUCUAAAAAUAUGUUCCUGAGGCUUUGCUCCUUCUGUCUGUCUCCAUCCUAGCAGAAAAUGACCCCUGUAACUUGUCAGCCCUGCAGAUCAGAGUUGAUCCCCAUGGAACCAGGUGGCAUCCCUGACCCCAGUCAACCAUCUAAUGAAUGUGGGACCUGGUCCCAAGGGUGAUAUCCUCAUAGUGGGGACGACCUCCACAAACUGAGCCUUUCCUGCCCUGGAGAAGCAGUUCCCAUUCACCAUGCUCUCCUGAUAGGGGCAGGGAAAUAGGGAUCAAGAGUGUCAGGGAGGUGGGACCACAGUCUCCAGGCAAAUCUUGUGGGCCCCUUGUUCAGCAGGAAGACAGUGGCAGAGGUUGGGAGGAGAAUGCAACUUUUCUGUUUACACCAGAGUCUAUCAAAGCCUGAGUCCUCCUGCCCCAGAGCCACUUGGACAGCUCAUUCCAAAUGCAGAUUUCUGGGGCCCGUUCUUGCAGCACUGAGGCAUCGGGAAUCUAGGAGUGCUGAAGUUUGGCAUCUUUGCUUUGUUCUGUUGUUGUUGUUGUCUGGAGAGAGUCUCACUCUGUUGCCCAGGCUGGAGUACAGUGGCUUGAUCUCAGCUCACUGUAACCUCUGCCUUGUAGGCUCAAACAAUCCUCCCAACUCAGCCUCCUGAGUAGCUGGGACUACAGGCAUGUACCACCACACCCAGCUAAUUUUUAUAUUUUUUGUAGUGGUGAGGCUCUGCCAUGUUGUCCAGACUGGUCUUGAAAUCCUGGGAUCAAGUGAUCUGCCCACCUCAGCCUCCCAAAGUGCUGGGAUUCCAGGUGUGAGCCACUGCACCCGGCCAUACCUUUGCUUUGUAUGGAUACAAGAAUCCCUGCUUGUUAUCUUUUCUGCCAUAUAUGGAGAAGGAGGGGAGGCAAAGAUUGUCCUUUUCGUCUAUUCUCAAAGUCUUGAUAAAGUGGGCUAAUUUAACUGUAUCUGAGAGAAAGAGGGGACAACUGGUCCAGGGGACUGUCACCCAAGGAUUGGUGGGAAGGGGAGAGCAAACUGCAAGGAAGGGCUCCACAUAAGGAUUCACUGUGGUCCCAGAAGAAGGAAAUGAAGACUUAGUUGGAAAAGGGCAAGUUAUACCUUAGCCUAUUGAACAGGUGUCUUGACUAUUUUUAGACAAACAUUUGCUAUUAUUAUAACUUACCUUUUAAAUAAACAGUUGUAUUAUUGCUAAACUAGUAAAGAAAAAUCCAUGGCUAUGAAUUUGAAAGGACCUGUCCCCUUGUGGCUCAGGUAUAACCCCCCUUCUCUGACAAAAGCUUCCAGGAAUGGCCCUCCUAACCAAGAGUCCCACUGCUCAUAUCACUGUAAGUGGAACAAUUUGGAAGCAGACAUUAAUAUCCUUCAAAAGCUGACAGCAAAUAUUACCGAAGGUGAUGAAGACUGUAGAAGAUGAUGAAAUAGCCCAGCGUUUUGGGAAGGUGUCAAAGGUUCACACAACAUUUAUGAAUGCCUGCUGAGAGUCAGGCCCCUGGGAUCGGGUUCCUGCUUCAAAGGGCUCCCAGUCAAGGUCUGCCUUAGAGCAGUGGUUCCCAACCUUUAUGGCACCAGGGACCAGUUUCACGGAAGACAAUUUUCCCACAGACCUGGGGGGCAAGGGUGGUUUCAGGAUGAAACUCUUCCACCUCAGAUCAUCAGGCAUUAGUCAGAUUCUCAUAAGGAGAGAGCAACCUAGACCCCUUGCAUGAGCAGUUCAUAAUAGGGUCUGCACGCCUAUGAGAAUCUAACGCUGCCACUGAUCUGACAGCAGGCAAAGCUCAGGCUGUCAUGCUCACCCUCUGCUGUGCAGCUGUGUUCCUAGCAGGCCAUAGAUCUGUACUGGUCUGUGGCCUAGGAGUUGGGGACCCCUGCCCUAGAGGACACUUCUCUGUCUUUCCUGUUUCCCUGGCUAUCUUCCAUUCAUUCUACAGGAUGCAUCAGGCUGAAGGUGACCAUUCAUGGAGCAAGCCAGAGAGAAUGGAGAGUGUCCCUGCCCAGUGGCUCCUCAUGGUAUGAUUGGGCUGGCAAGCACUGAACUGACAACAGAAAGGAAGAAAAGGCAACAAAUAUUCAGGAUCCUGAUCUUUCAACUCUGCUUCCCCCUCCCCUGAAAGAUUUGGGUUACAGUAUGAACCAAGCACAUGUAAAUUCUCAGACAGCCCAGACCUCUCCUUGAAAGGUUUGUGUUACCUCUGCUCACAUAUCAUGUCUGGAAUCCCCUGGAAAAUCGAGACUGUGGUGAGACUGGCUCCUGUGCCCUAAUUUAGUGUUCUGAGCUGUGGCCACUGGAACAAGGGAACGAGAGUUCCUCUAUCCCUCAAUCUUCUGCAGAAUGCCCCCACAGUUCUGGUUCCACUGUGGCUGCUGAGGCAGCUCUGGAGCACGCCGCACAUCUUGAGUUCAGUUCACUGAGUUGCCACUGCUCAGUGGGUCUAACGUGGAACUCAAGCCCUGGUGCAGAAAGGAGGCCUGUUGUGCAGGCUCUUUUCCUCCUGCCUGCCUGGGACAAGGGGAGAAGCCCUGUGUGACUCGAGCUUAUGUCACCAUAAGCAGCACAGUUUGGAAGCAGACAUGAAAAUCCUUCAAAAGCUGACAGCAACUGUUAUUGCAGGGCCUCAGAAGAUGAUGAGUUAGCUCAGCCUUUAGGAAAGGUGGCAGGGGCUCGUGCAACAUUUAGGAAUGCCCGCUAAGAGCCAGGCCCUGCAAUGUGGACCCUGCUUCAAAGGGCUUCUUAGAGCACAGAGGCUGUGUGUCUGUAGGACAGCUGGCACUCACUCACUGUGAGUCAGCAGGCAGCCCUCACUUCCUCCCGGGAUGAGGAACCCUCUGGCAGCAACCCCUGACUUUUCUAGGGGAAGUGGAACAUUUUUAAUAGGUUGUUUUUCUGUUCCAUCAGCAGGGCAGGGAGUUCUGAAUAUUGCCUGGCAAGGACAGGCUGGCAGCUUCUCGAUGGUUGUCUUUGCAGUCCAAGCUCAGCACAGAAACAGGAAUGUGUCUUCCAGCCAAUUGCAGCAAAAUGAAACUCCACUCACAGCUGAGAAGCACUUGAGUCACUCUGUAAGGUCGAUUUGGAGAGGACAAAGCCCUCCUCUGACAAUCCCACUUCUCCCCAAGUCCAUCUAGGCCUGGGUGGAACAGGGAGAAUGGAGGGAAAAUGUUGAUGUGUGGUUUCCCUGAAGCUCUGCUGAAAGGCCAGCUGGGUUACUAGGGACAGCUGUGGCCCCAAGGCCUCACAGGCACCCAUAGGCCAGGCUCCCCUUGAGAGGACAAUGAGAUAUUCAUUGGGAUCACAAGGAUAUGUCCCUCUCACCCCCAAAGCAGAAAAAUAAAUGUCCAGGAUUCUUUUUAGCCAUGAUAGCAGCACAGGUAUCUGAAGAACCUGUGCCUUCAGGCUCUAAGACCACAGGUUUUUCAAGCAAAGCAGCAAGGGAAUUUCAGUCCUAAAGGAUUUCUCUCAGAAAACACACCUUUGGGACAUUGUUAGUCACGCUGCUUCUUGUUUUAAAAUCUUUUCACAUCCUAUUUUGUGUCUUCCCACUUCAUGGGGUCAGCUAUCCUUUUCUCCCCUCCUUCCAUAUCCGUUCCCAUCAGCACCAUGAAAAGCAGCAACCCCCCUUUGCAGAACUCAGAGAGUCCCCUAAACUCAGGGCCCAUGCCUAUUUGCAUGUUGGCCCUUAUUCUCUGUGCCCCAGAGCCCCCUCCCCGCCUUCUCCUUCCAGGUCAGCUGGGAGAACCUGCCCGCAAGCUGCCCUGGGUGCUAGAGACCGAUGGAUUGUGUUCUUCCGAAAUUCAUAUGCUGAAGCCUAAUCCCCAGGGUGAUGGUGUUAGGAGGUGGGGGACUCCGGGAGAUCAUAGACUAGGGCAUGAAGAUGGGCCCCUCAUGAUGGGAUUAGUGCCCUUAUAAAACAGGCCCCAGAGCCAGGCGCUGUGGCUCACGCCUGUAAUCCUAGCAUUUUGGGAGCCGAGGUGGGUGGAUCAUCUGAGGUCAGGGGUUCGAGACCAGCCUGGCCAACAUGGCAAAACCCUGUCUCUGCUAAAAAUACAAAAAUUAGCUGAGCAUAGUGGCAUGCACCUGUAAUCCCAGCCACUCGGCAGGCUGAGGCAGGAGAAUCACUUGAACCCAGGAGGCGGAGGUUGCAGUGAGCCAAGAUCACACCACUGCACUCCAGCCUGGGUGACAGAGUGAGACUCUGUCUUAGAAAAAAAAAAAAUUUUUUUAAAGAAAGAGGUUCCAGAGAGAUUCCUUGCCCCUACACCAUGUGAAUUUUAUCCAGAAGGUGCCGUCUGUGAAAAACCGAGCCUCUGACUCUGCUGGCACCUUGGUCGUAGACUCCCCAACCUCCAGAACUGUAAGAAAUACAUUUCUGUUGUUUAUAAGCCAUCCAGCCUAUGGCAUUUAGUAUAUAAUGGACUUAAGGCAGGGAUACAGCAGCCCUCAGUGGAGGUUAGCAGGACUAACACACACUGGGAAUGGGGUGCAAAGUGAACAGAUGAGUUUCCACAACCUACAGCUGAUAACCUGGUAUGUCCCAGCCCUGCGCCAGGAUGGAAGAAUUUUCUACUCUGAAGAUGCCACAGAUAGUGUCAUCCCCAGGGCAAUGACACAAUCCUAGGACCAGCUCACUUCCAAUCACAGAAAAAAGGUGGAUCCCCAAGAAUACCCACUGAAUUAGGCACCAGAUCUGAUUUGGCUCUGUGUCCCCACCCAAAUCUCCUGUUGAAUUAUAAUCCCCAUGUGUUGAAGGAGGGGCCUGGUGAGGGGGUGUGUGAUUGAAUCAUGGAAGUGGAUGUCCCCCUUGCUGUUCUCAUGACAAGAGUUCUCACAAGAUCUGGUUAUUUGAAAAGUGUGUAGCACUUCCCCCUUCACUCUCUCUCCUGUCACCAUGUGAGGAUAUACAGGUUUCCCCUUUGCCUUCCACCAUGAUUGUAAGUUUCCCCAGCCAUGCCUCUUUUACAGCCUGUGGAACUGUGAGUCACUUAAACCUCUUUUCUUUAUAAAUUACCCAGUCUCAGGUAGUUCUUUGUAGCAGUGUGAGAAUGGACUAAUACAACACCCAUCUAGGGACUGCAGAGGAGAGGCCCCUGAACACCCCAGCAGGGGUGCACACACACACACACACACACACACACACACACUCUCUCUCUCUCCCUCUGUCUCCUCUCUCUGUCUCUGACUUACCACAUUCAUGCACAUGCAAACUCACACAUACACACCUGCGCACACACAAUCUCACAUCCACCCACACAGGGGCACAUGCUAUCUCACACCCUCUUCCUCACCUGGAGCUAGAUGUACUCGGAACCUCACUUUUGUCCAGGAAGCUUGCCACAUCAAAGGCAUCCUCAAAAAGGAUCUGAAAGAAAGCACAACACUUCAUGUGUUGGAAAUAACUUGACAAUUUCAUGCUUGCCCUGGGCUGCUGGGGAGAGAUGAGUGGAAAGGCUCUCUCUUUACACAUACCCCAGAGGGCAUGCAUGUCAGAGCUGGGGCCCACACCCAGGGGCUCUGCUUGCUGUUCUUCCUAGGGGGUAAAUGCUAAACUCUAGAGUGCCCAGGACAAACUGCCAACCCUGGAGGUGGCUGUGAGGGACAGGAAGAAAUGGGGAUUGUGAUUCCUCUUGCCGACGAAGGUGGGAGCUCAGGUGUGAGAUGCAAUUACCAGAGCCUCAGUUUACCACUGAGAAAAACCUCAUCAAAACUUCCCAAGGCGCACAGAUUAUUGGAGCCCAGGGUCCCCAGUCUAGCUGUCUCAUGCCAGGACAGCUGAAUCCAGAGGGUCAGGAAGGCUCUGGGUUAGGCUGCAGGCAGGCCAACUCCCAGGCCUGUGUCCCUUGCUAGCUGUGUGACCUGGGACAAGUUACUUCAUCUCACAAAUCCUCCUCUAUAAAACAGGAAUCACAUUAGUGUCUACUCAUAGGGCUAUUCCAAGAAUUAAGUAAGAUAAUGUAUGUGAAGUAUCUAGUUACAUUUGAACAUUAUCCACUUUAUAACAGACAUACCUGGCACAUAAUUGAACAUUAUCUGCUUUAUAAGAGACAUACAUGUUCAUUGUGGAAAUUUUGGAAAAUAGAAACAGAUCAAGAAAAUAAGAAUUACUGAGAAACAAUCCCACCCAGAUAUCCAUUGUUGACACAUUGAUCUAAUUCUCUCCAGUCACUUCCCUAGGUCUAUAAUAUAUAUUUCCAAUUUGGAAUCUUGCUAUUUAGACAGUUUUUCAUCCUGCUUCCCCCUAAUGUGUUAGAGAAUAUUAAAUAUGUUACAGAAACAUGAUUUACACUUACAUGACUGCCAGAUUUAGCAAAUACAAAUACGGGAUGCCUAGUUACAUUUUGAAUUUCAGAUAAAGAAUGAAUAAUUUUUAGUAUAAGAAUGUUUUGAAUCAUGCAUGGGACGUUUUUGUAUUAAAAAUUGAACUGGGCAUGCUUUACUUUAACUGACAUCUCCUUUGCACUGGCAAUCACGCCUAGGAGAGGAGAGGAAGUUCUCUGACCCUGAGUUGGCAGGUACUGGCAGGUUCCGCCAGGGUCUCUCCUCUCCUCUUCCCUUCCUGCAACACACAGCUCUUCCAAGAGGAUUGGUGUCUGCCCUUUCUGUCUUCCUUCAAUUGACUUCCUGGAACUGAAUCCCUUGGGACUCUGGCCCCUCUCUUAGUUUUCCGGACAUUUUCUGUUGUCCUUCUACUUGAUAUCUCUGUGGUCAUUUCAAAGAGGAUCUGGAAAGGGGCCACAGAAAGACCUGUGCUUCAGUGUCCAUCAGCUCUGAAGCCUAUCAGCUACAUGUUGCUCCCUGGCAGGCCUGAAACAGGGACCCAGAACUGAAAUCCCUGUCCUUAAGCAAUCAGCCCACCAAAGUCGCAGGCCACACAUUGUGCUCACCUGUGCAAAUCCCCCUCACAAGCCAGCCUGAGAGGGGACCCCAGACCAGGCUCCACAGCCUUUCCAGAGUGCCACCACACUCACAGGGAAGCUCAUGUCUGAACUGAAAUGGAGCAUUCCAGAGCCUCCUGGGCCCAUCUGACCGUGCUGCUGGCCUCUAACACAACAGUUCUGCAGCAGAACCUCUCCAGGUGGACCAGGGGCUGCAGUGGUGUCACUGCUCAGCAGGAGUAACUGUGGCUUUGUCCCUGCCUCGGGCAUGGGAGUUCUCUGUUCUGCCUACCUUAUCGCCCAGCCCUGGCCUGGCCUAAACCUGGGCACAGCAGUGCAGGCAGAGCCCUGCUUCUGGCCACAGCUGAGGGAAUCUGCUGCCAGCUUCCCUUAAUACCCAACAAACAUCAGCCCAUAGGCCUCCCUGAAAAACCCAGAAAAGCUGUUUCCAUGAUUUGGAGACAUUAGAUUCUGGUUGUUUUCUCUUUGGAUGUGUUCUUCCUGGGGAAGUGUUCGUGCUGGCACAGUCAAAUUUGGCAGAAUUGCUCAGGCAUUUGGUAGAUACUGUCAUGCAUCACUUACUGAUGGGGAUAAGUUCUGAGAAAUGUGUCCUUAGGCAACUUUGUCAUGUGAACAUCACAGAGUGUAUUUAUGCAAACCUAGAUGGCAUAUAUACAUAUAUUUAUCUUUUCUUUUUUGAGACAGAGUUUUACUCUUGUCACCCAGGCUGGAGUGCAAUGGUGUGAUCUCGGCUCACUGCAACCUCCACCUCCCAGGUUCAAGCGAUUAUCCUGCCUCAGCCUCCAGAGUAGCUGGGGUUACAGGCACUCGCCACCACGCCCAGCUAAUUUUUGUAUUUUUAGUAAAGAUGGUGUUUCACCAUUUUGGCCAGGCUGGUCUUGAACUCCUGACCUCAGAUGAUCCACCCACCUUGGCCUCCCAAAAUGCUGGAAUUACAGACUGGCAUCACCACGCCCAGCCCAUAUAUUUAUUUAUAUAUAUUUUUUCAUAUGGAAAACCAAAAAUCCAAGUUCCAUUACUGAAUAUCAAUUAUUUACCCUACUUGAUGUGCAAUGCCAAUAUCGAGUGCCAUAUAUCAGGUUUCCAUAUAUGCUCCAUUAUCAUCUUAUGUGACCACCAUUGUAUAGGUGGUCUGUUGUUGCCCAAAACAUCUUUAUGUAGCCCAUGACUGUAUUUUCCUUUCGUUUUCUUCAUGUGAGACUCCAGGGCUUGGCACUUUGGGGCUGUAAACACAUCUGUUUGGCUGCCCUUUCAUACAAGCCUUGGGUAUGAGGUCCUAAUCUUCUGGCUUUUUUUGAGCCAUCAUGGAACAGAACGCAUGUCUUCUCAUGGUGGACCCAACAUCAGAGGAAAACCAGAUCAGAAGCCACAGUCUGGUGGACCCAUGUUCGGGGGUCGGGGAAAGGACCAAGGCAGUAGCUGGUAGGCCAUUGAACAUCUGCACUGGGAGUUCCCUCCAAUAGGACCUACUGCACUAGCCACGAGGGAAGCUUGUUAAAAAUGCAAUUCCUGAGGCCCCACCCUCAGAGGCUCUGAUUCAGUGUGUCUGGGAUAGAUAGAGUCUUGCUGUGUUGCCAGGCUGGAGUGCAGUGACACAAUCAUAGCUCACUGCAGCCUUGACCUCCUGGGGUCAAAGGAUCCUCCUGCCUCAGCCUCCUGAGUACCUGGGACUACAGGUGUACCACCACCACACCUUUUUAUUUUUUUUUAGUUUUUAGUAGAGACGCAGUCUCACUGUGUUGCCCAGGCUGGUCUCAAACUCCUGGGCUCAAGCAUUGCUCCCACCUUGCUCGGCCUCCCCAAGUGCUGGGAUUACAGGUGUGAGCCACUGCGCCCAGCCAGGCACCUGACUUUAAAAAAAAACUCCACAGGUGAUUCAGUUGAGAAGCAUCAGGGGAGAUAAUGGAGGGUUGACCAUCAACAGGUGACCAAAGGGCAGAGUAAUGUGAAAAAAUGUGUGAUGACAGAGACACAGUCACUGAAGCAGGAGCUGGGAGUUCUGGGCAAGUCACACUGCUGGUUAGGCCUGCAAACUGGAAGGACAGGAAUGGGUGACAUCUCUGUCGUUCUCCAGGCUUGGGCCUGAUAGCUGAGGAACCUUCUAAAAAACGGAGGCAUUCCAGGGCUGUAACUCCAGGGUCAGAGACAAUCGGACGCUCUCUGGCCCUAAGGCUCCACAGAGAGACUCUGGGAAACUAGCAUGUCGUCUCCUCAAAGGCGCCCCGACUGAGGAGCAUUUGGAAAGUCAGGGCAAGGGGGUGGCCUGUAUCAGGCGGAAGCCAUGGAUGCUAAAUGUCCACGAAGCACAGGGCAUGUGCAGAAUGCGAAUCGGCUGCGCCUGGGCUAGAGGAGCGAGCGUGGGCCGUGUGGUAGAGCAGUGUUCUGAGGCCGUCCUCAUACUGGAAGAGCAGCUGUGGGCCCACUUUUAUCUCCGUGCAGGGCGACCUCAAAUGCUACCUGAUGCUCUGCUUUGCAGACUAUGGCCACGGCCAUUCUGACUAGCGUUCUGAAAGCUGAGAAAUGCAUUUACGGUAGCAGUUGUGGUAACCUCCCCUUCACAGAGCGAUCCCAGUGCUCUUUGGGGUGGGAACUGACGGCCUUUCAAGGGCUGGACCUGAUUGGUCCAAGUGUGAUUCCCUCUAUGGCCAGUCAUUGGCUCAGCAGGCUGGCAAUUUGGCCAGUUCCAACCAAUGAGAGGGGAGGAGCGGUUCCGGAAAAGUUCUUCCUUAACUCUUAAGAAAGAGCUUUCGUAGGAAAUCUUUGUCUUACCUGAUGUAGAGUAGGAAGAAAGACAGUUCGAUUGCUCUAGCUGCCAUUCCAUAGCCACAGGAGCCGGAGGAGGUGGGGAGGGCAGGGAAAGAUAAGAAACUGAGCAGAGCCAAGAGAGGCCUGAAUCCACGCGGACAUGGUGAGCUCCUCUGCCUGCCUCGGACCUCCCCGGGUGUGAGGAGUGCAUUUCUUCGUGGUUUAAUAAUCCAGGCCCUGGCAGCCCAAAGAAUCCCAACUGAGACAACCUCUCAAGACUUGUCUUCUGCCAUCCCCAGGGAAAGGCCAGGAAACUAACCGCAGAAAAACAAAUACUGUUCCGUGACCCCAGGGAUUAGAAAAUCAGAAACCGGCCGGGCGCGGUGGCUCACGCCUGUAAUCCCAGCACUUCGGAAGGCCGAGGCGGGUGGAUCACGAGGUAAGGAGAUCGAGACCAUCCUGGCUAACACAGUGAAACCCCGUCUCUACUAAAAAUACAAAAAAAUUAGCCGGGCGUGGUGGCGGGCGCCUGUAGUCCCAGCUAUUCGGGAGGCUGAGGCAGGAGAAUGAGGUGAACCCGGGAGCCAGAGCUUGCAGUGAGCCGAGAUCGCGCCACUGCACUCCAGCCUGGGCGACAGAGCGAGACUCCGUCUCAAAAAAAAAAAAAAGAGAAAAAAGAAAAUCAGAAACCGACCUUGGGAGCCAGAAGGCAAACUGCACCUCCAACCUGCUAAAUGCAAAGCCCUGGUGUCCCCAGGCGAGGGCGAGGGUGGUUCCCGUGCCCCAUCCACGCCACCCCGGUGGGCCUGCUCACCUCCUCGGGCGUGGAGACCAGCGAGCAGCUGGCCCCCUGGCUGUCCACGCCGCUGUCCUUCACGCUGCC